GACGAACGCUGGCGGCGUGCCUAAUACAUGCAAGUUGAGCGCUGAAGGUUGGUACUUGUACCAACUGGAUGAGCAGCGAACGGGUGAGUAACGCGUGGGGAAUCUGCCUUUGAGCGGGGGACAACAUUUGGAAACGAAUGCUAAUACCGCAUAAAAACUUUAAACACAAGUUUUAAGUUUGAAAGAUGCAAUUGCAUCACUCAAAGAUGAUCCCGCGUUGUAUUAGCUAGUUGGUGAGGUAAAGGCUCACCAAGGCGAUGAUACAUAGCCGACCUGAGAGGGUGAUCUGCCACAUUGGGACUGAGACACGGCCCAAACUCCUACGGGAGGCAGCAGUAGGGAAUCUUCGGCAAUGGACGAAAGUCUGACCGAGCAACGCCGCGUGAGUGAAGAAGGUUUUCGGAUCGUAAAACUCUGUUGGUAGAGAAGAACGUUGGUGAGAGUGGAAAGCUCAUCAAGUGACGGUAACUACACAGAAAGGGACGGCUAACUACGUG
rnacentral:rRNA from 1 species